rnacentral:lncRNA from 1 species
CUAUGAACCCAAAAUAGCAAAAACAUUAGUUAAAAAGUUACAGAUCUGAGAAGAAAAUCAAAUGGGGUUUUUAGUUUAUGUAUUUCUAGUACCUCAGCAGCAAGGUAUUCAAGAACAACUGCGAGAUAAAUAGGAGCACCAGAUCCAACACGCUGAGCAUAACGACCCUUCUUCAAGUAACGAGCAAUACGACCAACUGGAAACUGAAGACCAGCUUUCACUGACCUAGCUACAGCCUUCUUCUUUGAGCCACCCUUCCUUCCUCCGGCACCUUUGGGUGUCGUAGUAGCAUCCAUUUCUGUCAACAACUAAAUGUUUUGAAGAGAAAAAUAGAGAAUAAGCUUUGAGUGGUUUUUGCCUUUGAGAUUUGAAAGCUGACGAAGAAAAUGGAACGGUGGAGUUUGACAUUUAUAGGAUAGAGAUGGAUUGCCACGCUGGCGAUCCGUGUGAGUGGUAUUGUUAUUUCACGGUGCGGAUUUGUUGUUUUAAUGUAAGAUCGGACGGGUACCAAAAGCUUCAGAUUUUUGUAAUUUUGACGCCAAUAUACUUGGGACUGAAUUUUUUUGGAGACACUACAAUUUGUUGAUUACAUUUCAUUUUAUAUGGUGAUUAAAAAAUUAUAAAUUAAAUAAUAAAUUUUAUCAUUUUAUAUUUUACUCAUAUUAAUUACUUCAACAACAUAUUCAAUGUUUUCCCAUAUAGUGGGAUCUGGGAGGGCAGAGUGUACGCAGAUCAUACCAUUUCCUUAGAUAAAAUAGAGAGGCCGUUUCCGAUAGACUCCCGGUUUAGGACCGAUAACAGUAUAACAAACAUCAAACAUAAAUACAUAUAAAUUAGUACAGUUUGUAAAAUAAACUAACGGCACUAGCCAUAAGAUAAUAUUACAACCACAGGAUAAUACUAAAAACUAUCUAUUCGAAAUCAUAGAUAUCACUCAAUACCAUGAACAAAAAAUUUCAGACACAAAUAAAGAACACUCCCCUACUUUUACCGACGCACUCCCACCCCCUAACUCUCUACCCCAAUUUGUGUUCUCCACAUCUUCCUAUCAAGGGUCAUAUACUUUGUAAAAUAUAACUGCUCCAUAUCAUACCUAAUCACCUCCCUCCAAUAUUUCUUCUAUCUACCUCUGUCCUGCCUAAAAUCAUCCAUAGCCAGUGUCUCACACCUCUGUACUAGAGCAUCAAAGCCCAUCUUCAUCACAUGCACGAACCAACGUAACCUUACUUCCGCAUCUUGUCUUCCACCGAGGUCACUCCCACCUUCUCCUGAAUAAUCUCAUUUCUUGCCCUAUCUUUCCUAGUUUCACCACACAUUUAUCGUAACAUCCUCAUCUCCGCCACCUUCAACUUUAGGAUAUGGAAGUUCUUAACUGGUCAACACUCCGUUCCAUACAAUAUAAACGGUCGGACUGUCACUCUCUAAAACUUUCCUUUAAUUUUCGGGGGCACCUUCCUAUCACAUAAAACUUUUGAAGCGAGCCUCUAUUUCAACCACUCAGCCCCAAUACGAUGCAUGACAUCCUUGUCAAUCUCAACAUUACCCUGAAUCAUAGACCUCAAAUACUUGAAACUCUCCUUCUUCUGAAUGGGCUAAGAGUUCAACUUCACAACCACGUCAGCCUCUUGUGACACAUCACUAGACUUACACUCCAAGUACUCUGUCUUGGUCUUGUUUAACCGAAAUCCUUUAGACUCAAAGGUCUGUCUCCAAAUCAUCAACUUAUCAUUAAUUUCUUCCCGAGUCUCGUUAAUCAAUACCACACUAUCAGCAAAUAACAUACACCAAGGCACCUCCCCUUUAAUAUGUCGCGUCAAAAUUUUCAUCACCAUAGCAAAUAAAAAGGGGUAAGAGUCGAUCCCUGAUGCAACCCUGUCAAAAUCGAAAAGUGCUCUGAAUCUCACCUACCGUCCUUACCCGAGUCUUUGCGCCUUCAUACAUAUCCUGAAUCGAUCCAGUGUAUGCCACAAGUACCCCUUUAACCUCCAAGCACCUCCACAGAAUCUCCCUGGGAAUUUUGUCAUAAGCCUUUCCAAGAUCAAUAAACAUCAUGUGCAAGUCCUUCUUCCUCUCCCGAAACUGCUCCACUAAUCUCCUCACAAGAUGAAUGGCCUCAGUAGUCUAGUAACCUGGCAUGAAACCAAAUUGGUUUUCAGAGAUAGUCACGCUCCUUCUCAACCUCAACUCUACCAUCUUUUCUCAAACCUUCAUAAUAUUACUCAACAACUUAAUACCUCUAUAGUUGUUGUAACUCUGAAUGUCUCUUUUGUUCUUAUAUAAUGGAAUCAUUGUACUCUACCUCCAUGCUUCAAGCAUCUUCACCGCCCUAAAAAUGAUGUUAAACAACCCUGGUAACCACUCCAAACCUGCCCCUCUAGUGUUCUUCCAAAAAUCCACUAGAAUCUCGUCUGGCCCUAUUGCUCUACCCCGACGUAUCUUGCGAAUAAACCCCUUGACCUCCUCAACCUCGAUACUCCUACAAUAACCAUAGUCGCAACACUCCUCAGAUUUCUCCAAGUCCCCCGACACGAAACCUUUGUCCCCCUUAUCGUUCAAAAGUUUAUGAAAGUAAGACUGUCACAUCUUCCUAAUGAGGGCAUCCUCAACUAACAUAGUACCAUCCACGCCCUUGAUGCACCUCUCUUUGUCAAAGUCACGAGCCCUUCGCUCCCUAGCCUUGGCAAGCCUAUACAAUUUUUUAUAUUAUAAUUGUUCAUAUUUAAUAUAUAUUAUUAAUUAUAGGGGUAAAUAUAAACAAAUUAACUAAUUUUGUCCUGAUUUAGGAAGUAAUCAACUACUCCCUCUGUUUCAUAUUAUGUGGUCCUUAUAAACUUGACACACCCAUUAAGAAAUCAAUAAAUAGAGAUUUGUUUUAUAUAUCUACCCUUAUAUGCCUUUUAAAGUGCAAUAGCUAAUGCAACAAUUAAAUAAUGAAAUUUGAACAUAUUACUCCAUCCUAUGCAUUACGCCUAGAACGUUGAAUAUUUAUAAUUGAAACUAGUAAUAAUCAUUUAAUGGGCGUUUGGUCAUGAAAAUUAAAACUUUUGAAGUUAAAUUUAGAGUUGAAGUUGGAAUUGAAGUUGGAGUUGCAAUUGUGUUUUUCAUGAAUAUAGUUGGAGUUGUUUUUGAAUUUUGUUGAGAGAGGGAUAUGGAAAAAAAUGAAAACAACUUUUUCUUGUUUUCCACUUUUUCAAAUCCAACUCAAGUUGUGUUUGAAAUUUUCAUGGCCAAACAUCAACUUGGAGUUGGAUUUGACAUAAAGUGAAUUUUUAUUUUUAUUUUUGAAAAAGUGAAAAAAUAUAAUGGUCAAACAGGCCCUUAAUUUUGGUUUGAGAAUUAAGAUCACUUAUGCACCAUUCAAUAAUUUUGAAAACUUUGAAUGUAUUUAAUACUCCUACCAAGUUAAGAAAGCCAACUAAUAUAAAUUGGAGUGAGUAAUAUGGGACAUUUAUUUUUGGCAGAAUACAUCGACACACCUCUUAACUUGACAUUAUUUUUUACUUUGGCACUUCAACUGAGUGGUGUCCAUUUUUAACACCUUAAGUAGUCAUCAACUGUGUCACUUUGACACAUUUUGCUGAUUUGACACAUCGUGUAUAUUGCACACACUUUGAGCGCGUGAAUAGCUUAAAAACUAUACUAAUUUUUAGUUUUCUUCUUCUUCUUUCUUUUGAUCUUCUUCAACACUUUUCUCCAUUUUUAUUCACCAACCACUCAACCCAACCACGAUUUCUUCCUUAAUGAUAGUCAAAAAUGGAGAAAAAUUAAUCUACCAUCACCUUCUUCUUUCAAUUUCUAUAAAUUCAUAAUUUUCAAUCUCUCAUUUUAGCUCAAUUUCUGCCUCAAUUUUAAGUUCAUUUAAUGAUGAAAAGUUUUGAAAUAGAGUUAGAGUUAACAUGAAAGAAUGAAUAGUGUCAAAUGCAAUUAGAUUGUGAAAAUUUCCACCAAUUUGAAAUCUCAAUAAAUUUUUAACAAUUUUUUUGGUGAUGAAUUCUUAACAGUUUUUUCUUUUUUCAAAAGAUGAUUGUGUAGUAGGAGGUAAUUGAAGAGAAGGUUUUAGAUGUGGGGAUGGGUAGGCAGAGGAGGUGAAACGGUGGUAGUAAUUGGAGAAGACUACCAAGGGGUAGGGAAGUGGGUGGGGUGGGGGUGGGGGUGGAUGAGGUGGAGAAGACAAAUUUGGUGAGGGUGGGGUAAUUAUAAUCUAUUUUUUUAUAAUUAUUUGGGUUAAAAAGUGUCAAGUGUCAAUAUUUAAUUGAAAUUUUUUUAUUUUAAUUAAAAUUAGUUGUUUAAAAAUUAAGUUGGAGAGAAAUGACAAAUGUCCGCAUUUUAUUCGUCAAUUUUAAUGUCAUUAGCGCAAAUAGCACACAUGUGGAGUAUUUUUUUGCUGGUUAUGAAAAAAGUGCUGAAAUGACACACUUGAGACUGCUUUAGUUGCUAAAAAUGUGCACCGUCCCCUUGAAGUGCCAAAGUGAAAGAUGGUGUCAAGUUAAGGGGCCUGCCGAUGUAUUCCGCAUUUAUUUUUAGUAAGAUGAUUAACUAAAAUGGGACGAAGGGAAUAGCAUAUAUGCUAAAAAAUUUAUCUCAAAAUUGUUGCUAAAACAUUGUUUCAAUAUAGUUAGAUUGUUUUAAAGAUCAACAGAUAAUUAACUAUUUCCCCCGUCUUAUAUUAGUUGUUGGCUAUUUUCUUUUAGUGGCGGAUCCAAGAUUUAAGGAUAGUGGGUACUUUUAAAAACUGAAAAAGUAAAAAACCAACUCAAUGAGGUUUGAAUCCGAGGCCUCCUUCCAAUGGGUGCUUUCAUAUGGUUUAUACCUAUUUUCAUAUAUUUUCUAUGUAAUUAUACUUAUUCCAUAUCGAGUUUAGUGGUGCUGCAGCACCCCCAAAAUCCUACAUAGGUCCGCCCCUGUUUUCUUUUUUAUACGCUUAUUAAGAAAUGAUAAAUAAAUAAAUUAAAAAGGCAUUUUUUACCAAUUCACCUUAAAAAACUUUUUAAAAACUUUACAAGUAAGUGUGAACACUUUAAAAAAAAAAAAAAUUGUUAGGAUAAUAUGAAAAAAUUUAAUUAAUGUUUUGUUGAUUUAGAAUCAUGGACAACUAAUAUACAACAACCAUUUUAGUAAUAUGAUCAACUAAUAUAGGACAAUUAUUUUAGUAAGAUGACCAAUUAAUAUGGAACAAAGAGAGUAUUUUUUGUUCAACUAUACCCUUAGAAAUUAAUUUUUAGAUUAAUUGAACAAGAUUCAAGUAAUCAAGAUUAAACAGAUAAUAUAGUCAUAUUACUCAAUCUAAAUCCCUUAUUAAUUUUUCUUAAGAGUUGUUCAAAUCUAUACAUGCCAACUAUCUUGAGACGAGAAGAGUAGUUGGAGAUUUUUGUCAAUAUACUUCGUGGACUCUGGUGUUUUGCCAUGCAGAUGUUCUACCAAAGUAUUUCAGCACUGAAUGGUUUUUGGACUGUGGCGCAGUCCCGCUUGCAAGAAGGUCUGCAGCACAUUGUGGCCUUUGGUCACCAAAAGAGUACGGUUGUGAUUCUUGGCAUGGAUGGCAGGUAAUUUUGUUAACAUAAGUACCUUUGGGAAGAAUCCUGGUGCGAGUGUGUCGCUUUGUAGUCUUUGUUUCUUUUUUCCAACAUUGUCCCAACUUUCGUGACAAGUGAAUUACAUCUUUGGAAUUGAACUACUAAUGCUUUGGUGCAUUGGAAAUGCAGUUUCUACCGAUGCCUGUUUGGUGCAGCAACUGGUGGGGAGAUGACCCUGUUCGAAUAUCAAUCUUGUUGCGUGCAUGUAACAGUUCCUUUUUCUAUUCACUGCCCUACUUCUGUGGCUUUUGUUUUUGCUGUAUCUAUUUAUGAAUUUGCAGGGGAACAUGGUAGUGACUGUAAAUAUGCUGGCUGUAUAGGUUGUUGGGUUCAUAGAAGUGUGAAUGAGAAAUAGAGAAGAAAUGGUGGAGGAAAAGGAGACACCAAAAUUGGAAAGUGUACUCCUAAUUUGGAAAGCUUACUCUUUCUCGCACAUUGGUGGAAGAAGAGAAUUUUUUAGUGCUUAUAUUGUGAAACACUUACUCCACAUGGUAAGUGAGGCAAGGAAAUAGAGAUGCCUCGCACCGUCGUCGCUCGCUUGGAUUUGAAUUUGGCAAAUGAUCGAUCGAUGAGAUCUAUCUUUUUGGAUAAAUUUUAUUUGACAAAAUCUGAACAAUGAUGAAAAACGCAGGAAAAUAUUUCUGAGUUUUAAUCCUUCAUUUACAUGCAGUAACAGUGACGCGAUGCUACUAUUUUAUGUGAACAGCAACACAGAACAGUUGCACUGCUUCGGAAAUGUUGCAUUGCUUCAGAACUGGUGCACUGUUUUAUGUUACUUAUUGCAUUGCUUCAGAACUGGUGCACUGUUUUAUGUUACUUAACUGAAAUGAUGCACUGGUUGAAUAAACAGAUGCAACCAUUCAGCAAAAGACACACUGAUUCAUCGAAAGAUAUAACUGUUCAGGAAAGGAUGCAAUCUUUGAUAAACAGACAUGAAUUUACAGCAAAGGUGCAACCUUUGGAGUGAACCAUUGCCUCCUUUCUAAAGCGGCAUCUUGUGGCUAUAAAUAACCUGGUUUUUAUCCACAGGUUAGAGAUAGAAAAUACAGAAAUUUUUAGAUUACAAAACAUUCUUAUUGUCUUAAAAAAUACUCCAAGUGUGAUCAUUCAAACCGUGAUUGUGUUCGAAGAAUCCGCCUAUUUAAGGUACCGCUAUAAUCGGAUUUAAGGUCAUUUUAUCCUGGAAGGAAGAUUCCAUAACCUCGGGUACAGUGAGGAGUAUUAAUCCUUAAGGAAAGUCCGUGAACUCGGACGAUUUGGCCUUAAUCAUUUCUGUUUCAUCUUUAUUUUCUGAAAAAUAAAUACACCUCUUGGAAAGGUCUUUUUGAUCUUGUGUUGAGGGUGUUUAAUACUUCAUUGUGUUCUUGUUCAUACUUGAACUCAAGUUGAAGUUGUUGUUCUGUGAUACAGAUUCUACAUACUCGUAUUGUGGAAAAUAACAUAGGUUACUGCUGUGUAUAAUGCCAGAUAACAAAAUCGCUAUGGACGUGUCUGUCAUCUUAGUGCUUGAAGUAUCUACUUAGUUUUGCUUGGGAACUAAACAAGUUGCUGCUUAAAGCCUGUCAAUUAUAUAAAGUUUUCAAUUUUAUACGUCUCAACUAUAGUCAACCUUCAGUCUUUCUAGUCCACAAUCCUGGAGAAAAGAUGCAAGCACUAAAAUAAAUGAACAAAUAGGAAAACUUUACAUUUUAGCUGGUCCGCAAGGUGCUCUAUACCACCAAAAGGCAUCUCAUGAAAUUCAAUGACGAUGUCGCUGGAAUAGUUCAACAAGAACCCCCUGUCUCCACACAAAGGAUUUACUCCUACAGACAAACGAACUGAAGGAGAGCUACUAAGGGGACUAUGUCUUAGCAUAUUUAUUUCAUUAAUCUGUACUCUAAAUAGCACAUCUACAGCAAAACAAAGGUAUUGCUGGCACUAAAUUGAAACACUAGACGUUCUGUGCUACAUACUUGCACAUUUCCAUAUCAGAUACAAAGAAGCAUAUGAAUCCCAUUUUAUAUAGGUAGUAAAUGGUAUUCCUCAUCUAAUAUGUAUGUAAAGCUACUUACAUCGUUCCUCAUAUUAAGAGUGAAAUGGCAUCUAAUUUUGAAGAUAAAGAAAAGGAUAAAAAAAAAUUGAAAAAAACAUUGAUUUUGCUCAUGAAUGGUUUGGUGUGAAAGCAAAAGAGAUGUUUCCACAGUUGCAUUGGAAGUGAAAUCUUUUCCAGAUGAGGAAAAAGAUAAACUUGCACCCUCUCCAUAAUGCUGUGAUAAAUCAAGAGAAAGUGCACACUUCCUUUAUCUUAAUUGAAACACAUUCAUGUUAAGAAAAGAUGGACCCAACACUGUAAUCAAAUGAGAUUGUGGCUGCACGAAAUGAGAAGUUCUUUCUAGUCAUUUCCCGUAAGAAAGUUUUACUAAAUUUGUAGCCUUUGAGAAAUCAAUGCACAAUAAUAUUGUAAGUUGUGUUGUCUGACAAGCAAACAUUUGUCACCAUUUCUUUUAGCAUAUCUGCAUACGCAUAGUUGUGCACCAGUCAGGGACUCCAGUACCAAAGGAGACUGGAAGGAAACAUCAAUAUGACCAUCUGCUCAUAUACUCAAAACACUACAAUGCCUAAGCCAAUCCCAGGAUGCAGCUUGCUUGAUGUGCCUUAUUUUGCAGCUGGAAGUGGACUCACUAGAUUUCAUCUUUACAGUUACAAAAUCAGAACAUAAUCAAAACAGACCAUAGUACCCACAAACACAAGGCAAACUUUCAAAACUUACUGCAAUAAUCAACCAACAGACGUCAAAUUUCAAAGAUUGGCACAUUCAUAUGUGAAAGAGAACAAGGAUAGUCACAAGCAUGUGAAUUGAUUGAGAGCCAGCGGUAUAAUUCUUCAAAUACUACUAGUUACUACAAAAACAAUCAGCAUACAAACAAGUUAACAUACUCCUUCACACCUAUGGAAAGUACCGCAACAAAAUUAUACAAUGAAAGAGCAAUUCCUCGAGAGUUAUCCUGCAGUCUUCAAAAACUAUACAAUUAUUGUAUCCUUCACACCUAUGGAAAGUACCGCAACAAAACUAUACAAUGAAAGAGCAAUUCCUCAAGGUUUAUCCUGCAGUCUUCAAAAACUAUACAAUUAUUGUACUAAAUGAAACAACAAAUCCACAUGUUCAAAAUGCUGUGAUAAAUCAAGAGAAAGUGCACACUUCCUUUAUCUUAAUUGAAACACAUUCAUGUUAAGAAAAGAUGGACCCAACACUGUAAUCAAAUGAGAUUGUGGCUGCACGAAAUGAGAAGUUCUUUCUAGUCAUUUCCCGUAAGAAAGUUUUACUAAAUUUGUAGCCUUUGAGAAAUCAAUGCACAAUAAUAUUGUAAGUUGUGUUGUCUGACAAGCAAACAUUUGUCACCAUUUCUUUUAGCAUAUCUGCAUACGCAUAGUUGUGCACCAGUCAGGGACUCCAGUACCAAAGGAGACUGGAAGGAAACAUCAAUAUGACCAUCUGCUCAUAUACUCAAAACACUACAAUGCCUAAGCCAAUCCCAGGAUGCAGCUUGCUUGAUGUGCCUUAUUUUGCAGCUGGAAGUGGACUCACUAGAUUUCAUCUUUACAGUUACAAAAUCAGAACAUAAUCAAAACAGACCAUAGUACCCACAAACACAAGGCAAACUUUCAAAACUUACUGCAAUAAUCAACCAACAGACGUCAAAUUUCAAAGAUUGGCACAUUCAUAUGUGAAAGAGAACAAGGAUAGUCACAAGCAUGUGAAUUGAUUGAGAGCCAGCGGUAUAAUUCUUCAAAUACUACUAGUUACUACAAAAACAAUCAGCAUACAAACAAGUUAACAUACUCCUUCACACCUAUGGAAAGUACCGCAACAAAACUAUACAAUGAAAGAGCAAUUCCUUGAGGUUUAUCCUGCAGUCUUCAAAAACUAUACAAUUAUUGUAUCCUUCACACCUAUGGAAAGUACCGCAACAAAACUAUACAAUGAAAGAGCAAUUCCUCGAGGUUUAUCCUGCAGUCUUCAAAAACUAUACAAUUAUUGUACUAAAUGAAACAGCAAACCCACAUGUUCAAAAUCAACCAACAGACGUCAAAUUUCAAAGAUUGGCACAUUCAUAUGUGAAAGAGAACAAGGAUAGUCACAAGCAUGUGAAUUGAUUGAGAGCCAGCGGUAUAAUUCUUCAAAUACUACUAGUUACUACAAAAACAAUCAGCAUACAAACAAGUUAACAUACUCCUUCACACCUAUGGAAAGUACCGCAACAAAACUAUACAAUGAAAGAGCAAUUCCUCGAGAGUUAUCCUGCAGUCUUCAAAAACUAUACAAUUAUUGUACUAAAUGAAACAGCAAACCCACAUGUUCAAAAUCAACCAACAGACGUCAAAUUUCAAAGAUUGGCACAUUCAUAUGUGAAAGAGAACAAGGAUAGUCACAAGCAUGUGAAUUGAUUGAGAGCCAGCGGUAUAAUUCUUCAAAUACUACUAGUUACUACAAAAACAAUCAGCAUACAAACAAGUUAACAUACUCCUUCACACCUAUGGAAAGUACCGCAACAAAACUAUACAAUGAAAGAGCAAUUCCUCGAGAGUUAUCCUGCAGUCUUCAAAAACUAUACAAUUAUUGUAUCCUUCACACCUAUGGAAAGUACCGCAACAAAACUAUACAAUGAAAGAGCAAUUCCUCGAGGUUUAUCCUGCAGUCUUCAAAAACUAUACAAUUAUUGUAUCCUUCACACCUAUGGAAAGUACCGCAACAAAACUAUACAAUGAAAGAGCAAUUCCUCGAGGUUUAUCCUGCAGUCUUCAAAAACUAUACAAUUAUUGUAUCCUUCACACCUAUGGAAAGUACCGCAACAAAACUAUACAAUGAAAGAGCAAUUCCUCGAGGUUUAUCCUGCAGUCUUCAAAAACUAUACAAUUAUUGUAUCCUUCACACCUAUGGAAAGUACCGCAACAAAACUAUACAAUGAAAGAGCAAUUCCUCGAGGUUUAUCCUGCAGUCUUCAAAAACUAUACAAUUAUUGUACUAAAUGAAACAGCAAACCCACAUGUUCAAAAUCAACCAACAGACGUCAAAUUUCAAAGAUUGGCACAUUCAUAUGUGAAAGAGAACAAGGAUAGUCACAAGCAUGUGAAUUGAUUGAGAGCCAGCGGUAUAAUUCUUCAAAUACUACUAGUUACUACCAAAAAAUAAAUAAAAUAAAAAUAAAAAUAAAAACAAACAGCCUACUUCACCAAAAACUAAAUAAGGCACACAAGUCAGCUUUCUAUAACAUAAGACAGGAAAUAAUUACUUAGAGCCUGCAAGGGAUUUCAGUUAACAACACUACCGGACCACUGAAUUUAUAUAAACAACUUAAAUCAAGAAAACCAACAAUAUUUGCACAAGUUAUCCUAUUAGCAUCUGUCACGGUUCCAAGUUCAAUCUUCUUCCAUCUAUAACACCCAAAAAGCUGCAGAAGAAACUAAUAUUUAUGCCAAAGUUUAUAAGCUAUCAUAAGUUCAAAAGCAUACCCACUGAAACAAACUUGUUACCAAAACCAACAGCUGAAAAACUAAAAGAAACAUGCCCUGAUCUAUACUUUACAACAAUUACCAAAAUUUGAGAAUACUUGAUGAAUGCAAUACAUUUUAAAGUGGUGCCAAUUACACAAAAUAAUCUCACAGCUUUUUUACUUAUCAAAUUGAGAUAAUAAGAUAAGACAAUGAAUAACCCAAGAGGCCAAAUUUAGACAAUAAGAUUAGAAAAUGAGAUACUUUCUAUGAUAUUUCCAAGCACAUUACACCAAGGUUAUCAAAACAUAACAGAAACCUACAUCCUACUGCUAGAAAUUCCCAUAAAACUAGACAAAAGAUUACUGCAUAUUUAACCCAUACAUAAAACUGCCAAAUCUAUUAGGCCUUCUUUGGUGACUUGGUGGCUCUGGGCGUCGAUGCUUUCUCCUCGGAAGCAGUAGAUUUCUUAGGCAACAGAACUGGGUUAAUGUUGGGGAGAACACCUCCACUUGCAAUGGUAACCCCAGCCAACAAUUUUCCCAGCUCUUCAUCAUUCCUCACUGCCAACAGCAAAUGCCUUGGAAUAAUCCUCGUUUUCUUGUUGUCUCUUGCUGCAUUUCCAGCCAACUCCAACACCUAUUAAAUAAAAUGAAUAGAUUAUUAUAAAAAUCAAUAGAAAAUUACAGAUCUGAGAUAAUUUAUUGGGUUUAUUAUACCUCAGCAGCGAGGUAUUCAAGAACAGCAGCGAGGUAAAUAGGAGCACCAGAUCCAACACGCUGAGCAUAACGACCUUUCUUCAAGAAACGAGCAAUACGACCAACUGGGAACUGAAGACCAGCUUUCACAGACUUAGUUACAGCCUUCUUCCUUGGGCCACCCUUCCUUCCUGCUGCACCUUUGGUUUGCUUAGCAGCAUCCAUUUCGACAAACAAACAAUAAGAUUUGAAGAGAGAAAAUUGCUUCUAGUGAUUUCCGCUUUGAGAAUUGAAUGCUGAUGAAGAAAAUGAAACGGUGGAGUUUGGUAUUUAUAGGAUAGAGAUGGAUUGCCACGCUGGCGAUCCGCGUGAGUGGUAUUGUUCUUUGACGGUGUGGAUUUGUUGUUUUCAUGUUAGAUCGUACGGUUAGGAAAAGCUUAAAAGAUGGCGAUCCGUGGUUAAGGGAAACAGCGAAUGAUUUUGUGACACGCGUAUAUGUUUGGUGAAUUGCAGUAAGAGGUGAAUCGUGCGCGGGGAAUUUGAAUUUUACUAAAUUUAUUUUUUGCGCCUAUUUGUGAAAACUUUCUUAGCAAGAGAAAUAAAUGGGAUAAUUAUUUUUAUUCCUAAUUAAGUGCUAUUUAUAAUUUACCCGUCAAUCUCAAUAUCUCAUAUACAGUCAUUAACGAUUUUGCUCUUGGUUAUUAAAGACCCUAGCUCCUAAACUUUAUUAAUACUAUAACUAAAUUGUGAUUUUGACACCCAUCAACAUAAAAUUUGCAUGAAUAUAAAAUGAUCCUACUCACUAGUUUUUUUCCAUUUUUUAACUAAAUAAAAUUCUUACAAAAUAGCCAAGUAAAUCUUUUUUUAUGUUGAUAAGAAUUAGAGCAUAAAAGGGAUUUUGUCUAAUUUGGAUGCUUAUUUAGGAGGUGUCAAAAAGACUUAUCAGUAAUUUGAGAUCUUAAUAAAAUGAUUAUAUAAUUUAUUCAAUAUUAGGUAUAAAUAUAAAUCAAUGUUAUUAAACCUUACAGGGAGAAUUCAGAUAACUUAAGCAUUUCAUAAAGGCAUAAUAUUAUCAUCAAGUGAUAGAGAUAUAAAGGCAACACAAUGCACUAAACUUCUCAUUGUGUGCGAGGUUAACACAGAAAAUCUUAAAAUAGUAAAAUGUCAUAAUUGAGAUCGGAACUUGUGAUGGAUCUGUUUGGCACUUUUUGUCAUGUCAUAGGUAUAAAUUUCAUAUACUCGAACUUCAACUUGCAAGAUAUCGCUAUUUGAUUUAGACCACUUCAAAUCUCCUCGCCUUGACAACCUAUCACAGUAGAAUAAAUGAAUAUCUAGACAGUAGGGGUGUGCAAAAACCAAAUUGACCGAUAAAAAUGCUAUUGGGUUAUUGGUUAAACCGAUAAUCUAAUAAGGAUACAUUAAGUUAUUGUUUUACCCCUAUUUAUGUUAUAUAUAUAUAUAUAUAUAUAUAUAUGGAGUCUAAUACUUCUAACCAUGUUUGGAAAAUUCCGUUAGUUUUUCAAAGUUUGAAGUAUUUAGUAGCUUCCGACAAUUAGGAUUCAUUUUUUUUUUCGAACCAACAUUCAGUUCAAGUUUGAAGAUUCUUGUAAACUAAAAUGCAUUGCGUAGGAUUUUGGCGGUAACUAAGAUUUCAUUUUUUUGAUAUUGGUUGUUACUAUUUCUAUUUUAAAUGUAUUUUCUUAUUGGUUAAACCAAAAAUCGAACCGUUAAAGACUAAAAAUCAAUGAACCGAAAACUGAUAAGAAAAUAUCUUAUUGGUUGGUUAUUGGUUUUACAAAUUGAAAAACCGAUAAAUCAAACUAAUAACAUGUAAAACCGAACCGACCAAUGCACGCCCCUACUAACCAAGUACUUCUUUUAACAUCUCGUAUUACAUUGUUAAUUUUGUGGUAUGUAUCAAUAGAGACGCAAUAUGUAAGGAUAACUUUAAUAUGACUUUUAUCUUAUUUCUCUUUUUCUUUAUGCUCUUACUUAUUUGAUGUUUCCUCCCUUUUAAUUCAAGUAUCUAAUCAUUGCGUAGGAUUUUGGCGGUAACUAAGAUUUCAUUUUUUUGAUAUUGGUUGUUACUAUUUCUAUUUUAAAUGUAUUUUCUUAUUGGUUAAACCAAAAAUCGAACCGUUAAAGACUAAAAAUCAAUGAACCGAAAACUGAUAAGAAAAUAUCUUAUUGGUUGGUUAUUGGUUUUACAAAUUGAAAAACCGAUAAAUCAAACUAAUAACAUGUAAAACCGAACCGACCAAUGCACGCCCCUACUAACCAAGUACUUCUUUUAACAUCUCGUAUUACAUUGUUAAUUUUGUGGUAUGUAUCAAUAGAGACGCAAUAUGUAAGGAUAACUUUAAUAUGACUUUUAUCUUAUUUCUCUUUUUCUUUAUGCUCUUACUUAUUUGAUGUUUCCUCCCUUUUAAUUCAAGUAUCUAAUUUAUAUUUAUUUAUUUUGUUUGUUUUCUAAAAAAAAUGUAUAUUUAGUAAUAUUUUAAUUUUAAUAUUUUAUAUGAUUUAUUUAAAAUCAUAAGAUUCAAAAAGAUCUUUUGAUCCAUUACAUAUAUCUUUGAUUAAAACUAAAAGGAAUAGAAAAACUCCCUUAUUUUCUCAAUUCAUGUAUCUAGCCAGACAUCACACUUGAAUUACAGUUAAAAUAAUACGUAGUUUAUGAUCUUUUAAACCUUCUAUCCUAUUUUUCUAGUUAACUCCAACAUUAGGUAUUCGUCGGUUAUAAAUGGUUAAUGUUAAUAAUUGAUGGUAGUGGUUGAAGAAUGUAUGGUAGUUGAGGGUAAUAAUAGUUGUAAUCAUAGAGGUGGUUGGGUGUUAGUUGAUAAUGGUGGUGAGGUGGCAGCAACGACAUUGACAUUGGUGGUGUUGGCUAAAGAAAAUACGGUGGUAGACGAUGUAUUUAUGGUAGUUAACCGCAAUUCUAAUUGUGAUAAUGGGGUGGCUAAUUGUAGGGAUUGAUCAUAAUAAUGACGGUGGCUGAUAGCGAUAGCAACAGUGAGAACGACAAUAUAUAUCGUUAUAAUGAUAGAGGUAGUAAGCAUUGUAGCAGCUAUUGACAAUGAUAUUUGCAUGUGGUGGUACUUGUCUGUGGUAGUUGUGCUGGCGGAGGUUGCCGAUUUGUGGUGGUGUCUCAAUGAUGAAAAUUGUGGUUGACAGUAGUAGUAGCUAAUAAUUAUGGUAAGAGUGGUGAUAAAAAAUAUCAAUAUAAAAAUACUUUUUGAUGAUAUUAAGACCUAUUAAGGGUUGAAUCUAAGUGAAUUGAAUGCAUCAUUAAUAAAUGUACUCAAUGAUCUAAUAUAUGGAUGACUCAAAUUCAGACAUUCAUUAAGUGAAAACAAAUACAAGUAACUUAAAUCUCAACAAAAACAAAUAUAUAGUAGCUCAAAUUCAACUCAUCAAGUGCAAAUAUAUUGGGUGAUCAUGGUUUGGUUUUUAAUUAAUAUCAAAUUGAAACCAAUUUAGUCAAUUUUUAAAUUUCUAAAACUGCGUCGAACUUUAAUAAAAUAAAAUCUUUGAUUUGGUUGUUGUUGGUUUUGUUCGAUUUUCAAUUUAGCUAAUGAUAAAUUGAUAAUACUAAACCAACAGAGAAAUGAGAUGGCUCUUUCAAAUGAACAUUAGGACUCAACAACAUUCUCUCUAACAUCACAAGUUAAAUGUGUUCAAAUCUUUUCUUAGUUUUCAAUAGUAUUUUAAAACUUUAACAUGUUUAAGUUGUAUAACUAUAGAUGUUUUCCCAUUUCACAUGUCUAACAUCCACUAAAUGUACAAUUUUAAAUAAAAUGAUCAAGCCGUAAAAAAACAAAGGGGCAAGCUGCUGGAGAUGGAUAUUUUUAGCAAAUAAAAAUAAAAAUCAUUAAUACACCACACCACACCACAUAUAUACAUUUGGACUUAGACUACAUUUAUUUUUAUUAAGAUCAAGACGUCUGAAUCUGAAUGUAUAUCUGAAUAAUUAAGAUUUUUGUCUCUAAAUUUGAAAUUGAAUGAUUAAAACUGUUUAUCUUUUCAAUAUUUGAAUAUGCAUAGCUUAUUUAUUUGUAAACAUAAUAAAUAUAUAAUUUAAUUAAUUAAUUAGUCAAAUCUUAAAAAAAUAUCAAUCUAAUAAAGUGUAAUAAUUAUUUAAUAAAAAAAUUAUAUUUGCCAGUGACGAUGGAGAUGAUUUGUAAUGACAAUGGUGGUCAUAAUAGUUGGUGUUAGUGGAUAAAAGUGGUGGUGAUAAUAGUUAUGGUGGUGAAACUGGCUAGUUUUUGUAGUGACUGUCGUAUAUGAUAGCAUUUGAUAGUGAUGGGGUGGUUGUGAUGUGAAGUUGAUUGAUGUUAGUAGUUGGAGAUGUUGAUAGUGGUGGUUGACAUAUGUAUGUAUGAUGAUUGACAAUGUUCCAAUGGUAAUUGGAGACCCUGUUAGUGGUUGAUAAUUAUGGUAAAGGUAGUGACACCAAUGACAAUAAUGAUGAUAGUGGGCUGAUUUUGGUGUAUUUAUACGCCUAAGCACCAUAACUUAUCCAUAUUUUAGCUAAGUUUAGAGAACAAAGUGCGUAGUUUCUUAUGUUUUUACUCUACUUCUAUGUAAUUGAGCUAACUGAUGUGAUUAGCAUGAUUUCAAGUAUUAAUGAGGUAGAUGAAGACAUAAUGGGACUAUGAAAUGCGGAUGACAUAUGACACAAGAGAGAGUAGCAAUCUGGACCAAAUGUGGCACCUAGAAACUAUGUCCAAGACUAAUUUAUCAUUUAUAAUUAGUUCAGGCACUUAGAAGGAAAUUAUGAGAGAAGAGAUUAUUAAAAGACUUAAUUGUUGAAUUUUUAUUCACAAUUCAUUAUUCUGUAUUAUUCUGAGAGAGGAGAAAGACGGCUUAGCUUGAGGAAAGAGAGAGAAAUAUUUUUCUCUCUUAUUUUUACUAUUCGCACACCAAGAUCGUCUUCUAAUUUUUGGUAUGAUGAAUAUAUUUAUGAUGCUUUUCGUUUUAUUCAUGAGUAACUAAGUUUAUUAGUUAGGGUUAUGGAAGACUUGUAGUAUACAAUCUAUCACUCUGGGUUUUGAAUUCAUUAUGCAUUGAUUUGUUUACAUCAUACUCUCUUCGCUUAUCUUGAAUUCUCGUGGUUGCAAACAUAGAGGAUAUGCCUUAAAACGCAACUUGUUCGAAAGAAAGGUUGAUGUUCGGAAAAGAGAGUAGUGAUAAGAAAAUAGUAUUACCAACCCCUAUUUUAUAAGUUAAUACCUUAGCAAGAUUAACUACUUGGAGAUUUCAUAUUUUUUUUGGUGAACGCUUUUGAUUCGAGAGAACUAAAGUGAAUUAGUCCUUGAUGGUUGAGAAACACCAGGACUAUGUUAUUAAAUACAAUACAUUUCUCUGUAAGCUUGAUCCAUGUAUGAAUUCAUAAAGCCCAUAGUUAGUAAGUAUUGAAAACUACAAGGUGGACAUAACCCUAGCUUGCUAUUUCUCUGAAUUUGAAUACUACUACACAUAUUUCAUCUUGUUAAACUAAAACCAUUAAUUUGUGAACUGAAUCAAAUUUCCCCUAUUUAUUUUACGUAAACGAACUAUUAAAAGUCAACUAAUCUGCAUACAACUUAAUUAACACCAUAUUCCCAAUGGGAUUCUACCCCAACCUAGUUGGGUUAUAUUUGACAAUGACCGCUUACUCUCUCGUAAGAGAGGUGUAAUUUGGACGUAUCAUGGGCGAAGAAUGUGUAAAGAUUGAUGAUGUAUUAAUGGUAUUUGACGGUGAUACUAGUUGUGAUAGAUGAGUUAGUUGGUGGUAAGGAUUGACCCGACAGUGGUUGAUGGUGGUGACGGUGGAGAUAAUUAGAAAAAUGAAAGUGGUAUGUGAGGUAGCGUCCACCAGUAAUGCUUGGUAGUAGUUUUGGUUGUCAAUGGUGAUUGUGAUGGUAAAUGUGGUGGUGACUGGUGAUGGCAGAGAUGGUUAGUGGUGGUGACUGGUGAUUGUGGAUAGAAUGGUGAUGAAUAUUAUCCAUCACAAGAAUAUCUUUUAAUAAUAUUAAGACUUGGUUUAUAUCUAAAUGACUCUGACCUAUCUAGACAUAUUAAAAGUUAAAAUCUUAAUAAAAACAAGCGCACUCAAUGGUUUGAGGUCUGAACCAUUCAGACCUCCAUUAAGUGCAAACAAAAGAAGCCUUAGAUUCUUUUGUCUAUACGAGAUGAAAUCAUGCAAUUUCGAUACAGAUUCUCAAUAAAUAAGUAAAAGUUCACAAUAAAGUAUCAUACAAUAUCACAAAGUUAUUCUAAAAUAGUACAACAUUUAUUGAUUAAAUUUUAGUUCAAUAAAAAAUAAAAUUGAACAUGAGUUGUAGUGUAGUAUUGUUUUUUAACUUAAUUCCGCACACAAUACAGACAAACUCCUCACAUUGAAUAUGCAUUCUCAAUUAGAUAACAGAGAUGGACCAAAAUUGUUACUUUGAUCCAUUUGUUGGUCAAUAUCAUCAAUAACUAAAUCAUCAUAGCUGUAUUUUAUGAUUUUUCAAGAAGGACAAGUAACCGUUUAAAAAUCGUCAAUUCAAUAACUCAAUGUUGAUAAAUCAAUAACAUUUUUUGAUUCGAUCUUUGCAUGACAAAUUACAUUUGAAUAAAAUGGUUGGUUGAUAUAGAAUGUUUUUUUUUUUUUACAAAUCAUAAACUUAUGUGUUGUUAUAAAUGUAUUUACAUUAUAGUGAAUGCCUAUCAAGAUCUAUUAAGAUCUACUUUGAUAUCUAUUAGGAUUUGAAGCAUCCGUCUUUUACUCAGACGAGGAGUAAAUUUCCCCUAUAAAUAGAGGGGUUUUAUUCAUUGUAUUGACAAUCUUAUGAUCUCUCAUCCUUCAAAGAGAAAAAAUAAGAAUAACUCUCUCUAUUCUCUCUACUCUUCUUCUUGUUCUUUCUUAUUUUAUAACACGUUAUCAACACGAAGUUGUAACCAAUUGAGUAAUAAUUGAGAUAAAGCCGCCCAAAAUGUGAUCUGUCAAUUGCUCAACAUGCUUGAGGUAUUAUUUUUCUUUUAAUAAUUCCUCAUGAGGUAUGAUUUCUUUUAUUAAAUAAUUCCUUUAUUUUGUUCCGAUAUGGCAAAGAGCAAUAGAUCCACGAUUGGGACAAUGCACUGUUUUAAUAUUUACAUUACUGCUACUUUGAAAGAAAAAAAAAACUAAUUAAUACUUCAUUGAAUAAUUUUGAUUUGAAAAGAAGAAAUAUAAAAGAGUUACAUGCAAAGGUCCAUGCAUAUCUAAAAUUGCGUGAUGCGGUAGAUUGAUUGAAAAUUUCUUCUCUCUGUCUGCGUAUGCUUUACACAUUUUAUAUAUUUUUAUAUUAUAUUAUUAUAUCAUAUCUAUUGACAUUAACUCUUCUAUAUAAUUCAAGGUCAGUAAUUUCUUAUGUUAUCUGUAUUUUGUUACUAAUAAUAUAAUUAUUGUUGGAUUUGAGGAAAAAUAAUUGGUUUGGAACCAUUUAUGUUUAAAAUUUAUUCCUCAAGAACAAUAUUGUCAAAAAAAUAAUAAUAUAUUGGGUUCAAGUCCCAUCGAUUCAUGCCUAAGACGUCUUUAUAUGGAUCAAAUAUUGAGUUUGAAUCUCAAUACACCAUAUUGAUGAUAGUGUGAUGGACAAGGCAAAAUGAUGGGUGUUUGAUGAAAAGUCAUGAAAUUCGACCCAUUGAAUAUGCUCCAUUCCAUGAAGUGAAGGUGGUAGCAAUACAUGAUAAGUCUGAAGUAUGACAACUCACUUCCGAAUGAGGAAGAAUAAUUGAUUGAUUGUGAUGGUAUCACAACUCACCUCCGAAUGAGGAAGAAUAACUGAGAAUUGAUUGUGAUGGUGUCACAACUCACCUCCGAAUGAGGAAGAAUAAUUGAGAAAAAUUAUUUUGAAAUCUACUUCUAAAGUAGUAAAUCUGAAAUUUAUUCAUAUAAUAGUAAAUCUGAAAUUUACUAAAGCAAAAACACAUAUCAUGGUAAACUUGGAGUUUACUAGAAUAAACGUUCAUAAAUUGACAUGAAUGAUUGCGAUAUCUCGAAGAUAUGCAUACUGAGUAUUGAACAUAUAUAGAAGAAUUAGAAAAUUCUUUAUGAACUUGCUUGUUCUCAUCAUAAGUUGGUUGAACCAACUAAUUUUGAUAUUGGAUCCCUCAAAAUCUGAAAAGUAUAAAAGGUGAAUAAGGGUCCGUUCACCUAUCAUGUGAUAUGUUGAAAAGAUGCAUCAAUAAGAUGAUCACAUGUGCCUUCAUGGUCAACCUACGUUUGAUAUUCAUAAAGUUACUUGUUCAAUAUAAAUUGAGUAUGGUUUUCAGAUUGUGUAAUCAAGAUAAUUCAUCUUGAUGAUGAUGGUUUAGCAUUGAAUGCCUUCCAUAAAUAGUUGAACCAUUACUAAUGAGAACAAAGUUUCCUGCAUUGGUGUGAAAUAUGAUAUAUUGCAUACAAUAACACUUGUAUGCAUUAGACCAAUAUAUUAUGAUUAUUUCUCCCCUCUCAAUUGGUUCAAGGUCAGGAACCAACUAUUCCAUCUAAUAGUUUUGAUGUGCGGUAUAUGAUUAAUAAAUAUACCAUGAUGCAUAAAGAUGGAUUCCUUAAAGAAGACGAAGGAUGUAUGUUAGUUUUCCUACCAUAAGGGGGAGAUUAUAAGCAGCUAUGAAAUAUGUUAGGAAUUAUCAUCAGAUCCUCAUUCAAAAGAUAAUUCAAGUCAAAUGUCGAAAGCAUCUCAUAUUUAGCUGCAAGUGCUCCUAUUUUAUGUCCUUAGAGGAUAAAGUCUAUGUAUGCAUGAAGUAUGAUAGACCAAUUGGUUCCAAAUGAAAUAAUCUUUGAAAAGGAUAUGGAGCAAAUAAUCAUAAUAAGAAGACAAUGAGCCCUUGAAGAGCCUACGAUAUAACACUUCAUGAAACCUUAUGAGAGGUUCAUGUACCUGAAAUAAUGAAGUAAUGAGAUCUCAAAAUGCUAUGUCGCAUUGUGAACCGAUACUAAGUGAUAUAUCAUCAAUAUAUUUGACACAAUAUUGGCGCAAUAUUGUGAAAGAUUACGAGGAUCUUAAUUCUACGUUAAUUUAAGUAUGCAGAUGUAGAAAUAUUUAUCAAGUGACAUGAAAGGAUGCAUCUUGGUAAGUAUUAAACUUAUUUGAUUUGCAAUCCAAAUAUUUGAAGACGUCACUCAUGAAAUGUUGAAUAUUGUCACUUGAUAAAACUUAUGUGAAAAACUUCUUCAAGGAUUCAAAAUAUAAAAGUUUUUGGGAAACUUAUUGAUAAUCCUUAUAUUGUAUAAGCUUAUAGCUUGAAAAUUAUUGAAAUUCUUGGAGAGUUUUCAAAAGCAAUAAGAUUAUUUGCUGAAAUAAGAAAUAUACCAAUUUGGAUUGGUUAUGAAGUACCAUAUAUUAGUACAAUUGAUGCACUUAUGUAUCUUGUAAUACUACAAGACCCAAUAUAGCCUUUUGCUCAAUUUGUUAGCAAGGUAUAUUUCUACUCCUACUAGGAGACAUUGAAAUGGGAUAAGAUACAUGAGUUUAUUUUAUUCUAAAGAUUGCAGUCUCAAUCUUAUUGGUCAUGCUGAUAUUGGGUACUUAUCUGACCCGCAUAAAGCUCGGUCUCAAAUAGGCUAUGUGUUCAUAUGUGGUGGUACUGCAAUAUCUUGGAGAUAUACAAAGCAGUCUAUCAUAGUCACUUCAUUGAAUCAUGCUGAGAUAAUAGCUAUUCAUGAAGCAAGCCGAGAAUGUGUAUGGUUGAGGUCCAUGAUACAUCUCAUUCAAGAAAAAUGUGGUGUGAAAUAUGACAAUCUACCCACAAUUUUAUACAGAGAUAAUUCAGCAUACAUAGCACAUCUUAAGGGAGGAUUCAUAAAUGGAGAUAAAACAAAGCACAUUUUGUCAAAGCUUAUCUACAUACAUGAGCUACAAAAGAAUGAUGAUAUUAACGUGCAACGGAUUCGGUCAACUGUCAAUGUGACUAUUUAUUCACCAAAUCUUCUCCAAUUGCAACUUUUCAGAAGAUGCUGCACAAGAUCGAGAUGUAAAGGUCAAGGAUGUUCUCAUCAGGGGGAGUUAAUAUGCGCUGUACUCUUUUUCCCUUAUGAGGUUUUGUCCCAUUGGGUUUUCCUUGUAAGAUUUUUAAUGAGGCAGCCGAAAUACGUAUUAUUAGAGAUGUGUACUCUUUUUUCCUCACUAGAUUUUUUUCCUACUUGGUAUUUUCUAGUAAGGUUUUAACGAGGCACAUUAUUUACCAAUUAGACAUUCAAAGGGGAGUGUUAUAAAUGUAUUUACAUUAUAGUGAAUGUCUAUCAAGAUCUAUCAAGAUCUACUUUGAUAUCUAUUAAGAUUUAAAACAUCUGUCUUUUACUCAGACGAAGAGUAAAUUUUCCCUAUAAAUAGAGGAAUUUUGUUCACUGUAUUGAUAAUCUUAUGAUCUCUCAUCCUUCAAAAAGAAGAAAUAAGAAUAACUCUCUCUAUUCUCUCUACUCUUCUUCUUGUUCUUUCUUGUUUUAUAACAUGUGUCAAAUUUUAAAUUUUUAAAAUUUGAUAUCAUGAUAUAAAAUUUCAUUUUUUUCUGAGAGUUUUGGUAUUUUUGGUCUAAUGAUUUGAAAUUAUGAGAUAAAAUCGCAUGUCUAAAUGCUGAUUUUAUCUCAUGAUUUCAAGUCACGAGAUGAAAUCAUAUUUCUAAAGGCACAUAUGUUUUAAGAAGAAAUUUAAAAAUCUUGCAAUAUAUGUAUAAAAAUAUUUAUAAAAAAAACUAAUAUCAUUCAUGUAUUCAAAUUAUGAAAUUUAUUCAUAUAAUUUAUUUGUUCAAUAUCCUUCUUUCAUUUUCAGCUAAAUCAAAAUCUAAACGAAACCAAAUAUUGUUAGAUUUUUAAAAUUUUAAACCAAACAACAAAUGUCCCCUUUAAAAAAAAAAAUCAUUUGGUUUGAUUUUUGAUUGUAGCAAAAAGAUGUAUCCUAAAAUGACUAAACGACGUCGUACAUAUAUUUCCAGCGUUUAAUUUAGGCGGGGCAAUUGGCGCGGAUCCAAUUUGCGUUUGUUUAACGGUAGGGUUCUCACUCUUCUUCUCCGUAGAAAGGUAAUCUCAUUGUCCCCUAUAAUAUUCGCAAUUAAGCACACUAAUCAGAUCGAUGGAGUAUUAUUUAGAACUAAUGCUAUUGGUAAAUUCCAUCUUAAAUUAAAAAAUAUUGAUCAAUUAGUAGUGUUAGGGAAAUUUGAACACCUAAUAUUACUUGGCGAUAAUUGGGUGAUUAUGAAAGUAAAAUGUCUAGUUUGAAAAUCUUUUAUUUAUUCAUAUUCUUGAUUGAAUUUAGAGAAUAAUUAGAUUAUCAGUGUUAUUUUAAGUGAUUGCAGCAUGAAAAUUACUACUCCAUCCGUUCAGUUUUAAUUGUCAUGUUUGGCUUCUCGAAAGUCAAAAUUGUAUGAACUUUGACCAAUUUAUUUUCUCAUUAUAUUAAUAUAGUUUUUGAAUAUCUUUAAAUUUUAAAAUAUUGAAUUAACCUAAUUCAAUUUAGCUCCGAAGAUUAAUCAAAUUGGCUCUCUUGAAGCAAUAUGUGAAGAGUAAAAUUGAAUGGAGGAAGUACUGUGUUUUUUAUACCUAAACGUCAAUGUAGCUGUAUGUGAGUUUUUUUCACUAACUUCAGAAGUUUACAAUUUGCUUGAUUUCACUUCAAUGUGGAAUCUCUGAUUUUUUCUGUGUAUGUGUAGUCUUAGCCGCAUUGUUGUUGAAGCAAUUAUUAGAGCGAAAUUAAAUGGACCCAGACCAAGUUGUUGCUGAAUUGGUUGGAAUGGGAUUUGAGUUAUCUGAUAUUACAAAUGCUAUAGAAGUUGUGGGUCCAUCAAUUGAUGCUGCCAUUGAUUAUCUACUCGAUGAUUCUCGAAGAGACACUGCGAGUGCAUCAACUAGUAAUUCACGUUUCACCAGUCAUGCCGGUCCUCUGGGAAAAAGAGGCCCCAAUUCUACAUCGCGUGCUGCAGGCAAAAUACGACAAUCAAGCAUAAAUGAAUUCGUUGAAUCAGCUGGUAGACCUAAAAGAAGCAAGACAAUGAAUAAGUUGGAUCUGUCUCAAUCAGAAGUCCUGCAAAGAGAUACCAAAGAUCGAAAUGUGCAUCCUCCUAUAGAGGAUUCUGAUCUCCGCAUUGCAACUGAAAAGGCUGUAUUAUCAUCUUAUAGCAAAGAUGAAGAUGUUGGACCAGAUUGGCAAAAGAAGGUUGAGAAUUUGUUGCAGAAGCACUUUGGAUUUUCAUUGUUGAAGGAUUUUCAGAAAGAAGCUCUGGAAGCUUGGUUAUCUCACCGUGACUGUCUUGUUCUUGCAGCAACAGGAUCAGGUAUUAGCCUUUCAUACUUUUCCUUCGCCAUUCUCCCUCUUCCUGUAAAAUACGAUUUUUCGGUGUCUCAGAGUUAUGUUUCUGUAGGGCAAUCUUUGUGUUUUCAGAUUCCUGCAUUGCUGACCGGGAAGGUUGUCAUUGUUAUAUCACCUUUGAUUAGCUUGAUGCAUGAUCAGUGCUUGAAGUUAGCAAAUCAUGGUGUUUCUGCUUGCUUCCUUGGAUCUGGUCAAACUGAUCGAAGUGUUGAACAAAAAGCAAUGUCAGGCAUGUAUAGCAUCAUUUAUGUAUGCCCUGAGACAAUUUUAAGGUAUUGAGCAUGUACUCUUGAAUGGUACUUCAAGGAUAGUGUUGGCUGUUAUUGACAAAUGAGUUCCUGACUUUGUUUUUUUCCAGACUCAUUAAACCCCUCCGAAGCCUCGCAGAAAGUCGUGGAAUUGCUCUAUUUGCAAUCGAUGAAGUUCAUUGUGUUUCGAAGUGGGGUCAUGAUUUUCGGCCAGAUUACAGGUUUAUGUUCUUUUGGUUAUCUCUCAAAAGUGUAACCUAACGGCUCUCAUCUCUCUCUAACGGCUCUCUCUCUUCCUCCCUACCCCCUCUCUCGCUAGCUCCGGUCACCGGCCCCCGUCGUCGUCGCCGACCCGACCCAACCUCCGGGCCCGACCUCCGGCGNNNNNNNNNNNNNNNNNNNNNNNNNNNNNNNNNNNNNNNNNNNNNNNNNNNNNNNNNNNNNNNNNNNNNNNNNNNNNNNNNNNNNNNNNNNNNNNNNNNNNNNNNNNNNNNNNNNNNNNNNNNNNNNNNNNNNNNNNNNNNNNNNNNNNNNNNNNNNNNNNNNNNNNNNNNNNNNNNNNNNNNNNNNNNNNNNNNNNNNNNNNNNNNNNNNNNNNNNNNNNNNNNNNNNNNNNNNNNNNNNNNNNNNNNNNNNNNNNNNNNNNNNNNNNNNNNNNNNNNNNNNNNNNNNNNNNNNNNNNNNNNNNNNNNNNNNNNNNNNNNNNNNNNNNNNNNNNNNNNNNNNNNNNNNNNNNNNNNNNNNNNNNNNNNNNNNNNNNNNNNNNNNNNNNNNNNNNNNNNNNNNNNNNNNNNNNNNNNNNNNNNNNNNNNNNNNNNNNNNNNNNNNNNNNNNNNNNNNNNNNNNNNNNNNNNNNNNNNNNNNNNNNNNNNNNNNNNNNNNNNNNNNNNNNNNNNNNNNNNNNNNNNNNNNNNNNNNNNNNNNNNNNNNNNNNNNNNNNNNNNNNNNNNNNNNNNNNNNNNNNNNNNNNNNNNNNNNNNNNNNNNNNNNNNNNNNNNNNNNNNNNNNNNNNNNNNNNNNNNNNNNNNNNNNNNNNNNNNNNNNNNNNNNNNNNNNNNNNNNNNNNNNNNNNNNNNNNNNNNNNNNNNNNNNNNNNNNNNNNNNNNNNNNNNNNNNNNNNNNNNNNNNNNNNNNNNNNNNNNNNNNNNNNNNNNNNNNNNNNNNNNNNNNNNNNNNNNNNNNNNNNNNNNNNNNNNNNNNNNNNNNNNNNNNNNAGUGGGGGGCGCGUGGAUAGCGACGGUAGGCUGAGGGUUGGGUCUUGGAAUAUAGGGACCCUUCAGGGGAAGUCCAUAGAGCUGGUGAAGAUUCUUAGGAAGAGAAGGAUCAACCUUGCGUGUGUCCAAGAGACCAAGUGGGUAGGGUCUAAGGCUAGGGAUGUGGACGGUUACAAGCUGUGGUACUCUGGGAGCGACAGGCGUAGGAAUGGAGUUGGCAUCUUGGUAGAUGAAGAGCUUAGAGGUCAGGUAGUGGAGGUGAAGAGGAUCAACGAUAGGUUGAUGACUAUCAAGUUGGUCAUUCGGGGGUUUACCCUGAACGUGUGUAGUGCCUAUGCGCCGCAUGUGGGAUCGGAGGGGGAGGAGAAGAUGCGGUUCUGGGAGGCCUUGGAGGACGUGGUGAGAGGCGUGCCCAGUUCGGAGAAGAUUGUGGUAGCAGGGGAUUUCAACGGGCACAUCGGGGCGCUACCGGGAGGCUUUGGGGAUGUGCAUGGAGGUUUUGGUUUUGGGGAGAGAAAUGAAGAGGGGGCGACCCUAUUGGAGUUUGCGAGGGCGUUUGGGCUGGUGGUGGUGAACUCGGGCUUCCCGAAGAAGGACGACCACCUGAUCACUUUUCGGAGCGCGGUAGCCAGGACCCAGAUUGACUUCUUGUUGCUUAGGAAAGGGGAUAGGGCGCUGUGUAAAGAUUGUAAAGUCAUCCCGAGUGAGAACCUUUCGACCCAACAUAGGCUCUUGGUUAUGGAUUUGGGUAUGAAGAAGAAUAAAAAGAGGAGGAGUAAGGAGUGUAGACCGAGAAUUAAGUGGGGCGGUUUGACGCCAGUGAAUGCGUGGGAGAUAGGGGAGAGGUUGGCGGGAAUGGGGGUGUGGGAGUGUAGGGGGGACGUGGAUAAUAUGUGGGACAGGGCGGCAGCGUGCAUCAGGGAAAAUGCAAGGGAGGUGUUGGGUGUUUCUAGGGGCCGGGCCGGACAUCAUCGGGGGGAUUGGUGGUGGAAUGAAGAGGUGGGGAAGAAAGUGGAGACCAAGAAAGAGUCGUAUGCUAAGUUGGUGGAAAGUAAGGACGAAGAGGAGAAGCGGGUAAACAGGAAAGAGUACAAGCUAGCGAGGAAGGAGGCGAAGUCAGCGGUCACGGCAGCUAAGACGGCUGCUUUUGAGAGCUUGUAUGCAGGGUUACAGGGGAAAGGAGGGGAGAAAAAGUUGUUCCGACUCGCUAAGGCUAGGGAGAGGAAGGGUCGUGACCUCGAUCAGGUGAGGUGCAUUAAGGGGGAGGACGGUAGAGUGUUGGUGGAGGACGGCCACAUUAAGAAGAGAUGGCAGUCAUACUUUCAUUGGCUCUUGAAUGACGAAGGAGAUAUAGCUAUUGUGUUAGGGGAACUGGAGCACUCAGAGGAGUGUCGGGAUUUUAGCUAUUGUAGACGUUUUAAGGUAGAAGAGGUUAGACAGGCUGUCCGCAGGAUGCGAAGGGGUAGGGCGACGGGGCCGGAUGAGAUACCGGUGGCGUUUUGGAAGUUCGUUGGAGAGGCUGGUGUAAGGUGGUUGACUGGAUUGUUUAAUGAAAUUUUCAGGACGGCAAAGAUGCCCGAGGCGUGGAGGUGGAGUACCAUGAUCCCUCUCUAUAAGAAUAAGGGGGACAUUCAGAGUUGUAAUAACUAUAGGAGGAUUAAGUUAUUGAGUCACUCGAUGAAAAUCUGGGAGAGAGUGAUCGAGGUGAGGCUGAGACGGAUAGUGUCUAUUUCGGAGAACUAGUUCGGAUUUAUGCCCGGCCGCUCGACGACGAAGGCAAUCCACCUGGUACGGAGGUUAGUGGAGCAGUAUAGGGAGAGGAAAAAGGAUCUGCACACGGUGUUUAUCGACCUGGAGAAGGCUUACGACAAAGUCCCCAGGGAGGUGCUUUGGAGAUGCUUGGAGGUGAGUGGGGUACCGCUGACAUAUAUCAGAGUAAUUAAGGAUAUGUAUGAUGGAGCGAAAACCCAGGUGAGGACGUUGGGAGGAGACUCGGAGCAUUCACUGUCCUGACAGGAUUGCAUCAGGGAUCUACUCUUAGUCCCUUUUUGUUUGCGUUGGUGAUGGAUGUGUUGACGCGGCGUAUUCAAGGGGAGGUGCCGUGGUGUAUGCUUUUUGCAGACGAUGUAGUUCUGAUAGAUGAGACUCGAGGGGGUUUGAAUGACAAAAUAGAGGUGUGGAGGCGAACUCUUGAGUCUAAAGAGUUCAGGGUGAGCAGAAGCAAGACAGAGUAUGUGGAAUGCAAGUUUAAUGACGUGAGGCGGGAGAAUGAGGUAGUAGUGAAGCUGGAAGCUCAGGAGGUAUGUAAGAGGGACAAGUUCAAGUAUCUUGGGUCCGUGAUCCAGAGUAACGGUGAGAUUGACGAGGAUGUCUCGCACCGUAUUGGAGCGGUAUGGAUGAAGUGGAAACUCGCGUCGGGGGUGCUGUGUGAUAAGAAGGUCCCCCCAAGCUUAAAGGCAAAUUCUACAGGGUGGUAGUCCGUCCGGCCUUGUUGUAUGGAGCGGAGUGUUGGCCAGUUAAGAACUCCCACAUCCAAAAAAUGAAGGUGGCAGAAAUGCGGAUGUUGCGCUGGAUGUGUGGACUGACUAGAGGGGAUAGAGUUCGGAAUGAGACUAUCCGGGAGAAGGUUGGUGUGACUUCAGUGGAGUGCAAGAUGCGGGAAGCACGAUUGAGAUGGUUCGGACACGUGAAGAGGAGGGGCAUGGAUGCCCCGGUCCGUAGGUGUGAGAGGCUAGCGUUGGAUGGUUUUAGGCGGGGUAGGGGUAGGCCGAAGAAGUACUGGGGUGAGGUGAUUAGGCGGGACAUGGAACAGUUACAGCUCACCGAGGACAUGACCCUAGAUAAGAAGGUCUGGAGGGCGCGAAUUUCGGACUUGGUGGGGGUUUUAUUCUUGUCAUGAUUCCGUGUUCCGUGUUCCAUGUUGUAUUACGAAUCUGUGUGCUUUCCCCUGCUUUCCUCUGCUUUAUAUUACUUAUGCGUGCCGUAUCUAUGUUAUGUAAUCUGCUUCUGUGCUGCACUAUGUGUUUGUGUGGUAUCUCGUGCCUUGAGCCGGGGGUCUAUCGGAAACAACCUUUCUACUUCAUCAGAGGUAGAGGUAUGGACUGCGUACGUCUUACCCCCCCAGACCCCACUAGGUGGGAAUACACUGGGUUUGUUGUUGUUGUUGUUGUUUGGUUAUUUGAUAAAUCAGACUGAUGCUAUUAUUUGGAAUUGGUCUAAAUUCUCAGUAACUGAGCAAGUUUUUUGAUUUAGAUAAAUCUUAUAGUCUCUUUUCCCUGAGUGCACAAAAAUAAGAAGGAACUUCUUAUCCUUCCAUACAUGUGGUAAUUCACAUCAGGGGUGGGGUGGGCUCACCUUCCGAAUUCUGGUUCUAUGUUUGUUUAGGUACUUCAUCAUUCAAAGAGAGUGUUAGCACUAACUUUUAGCAAACAUACAGGGAAUACAACUAACCAAUGAUUGUUGAAAUGGGAAAGUUCGAAAGAAGGUGGUUAGUUCCGUGGUUUGUACACAUAGGCUGCUAAACUACUGUCAAAUGCCAUUUUCUUACUUCUUCUGAGUUCGCUAGCUGUAACAACAUUUAUUUGGUGGAUCGUCCAAUGAAUGAGACUCUAUUCGGUACUCAUUACAAGAGUGGCAAAUGGUUUUUUAGAGUCCACCACUGUCAUCAGCCAUGAGUAGGAUAACUCUGACCUUCUAUUUGGUGUUUCCUCUUCUUUGAUUUCACUGCAUGGAGUUCCCCGACAAAAAAAAUAAAAAUAAAAAUCAUUAUAGGUUGACAGUCCAGCUUUUUGAUUUCGGGGUUCUUGUUCCGAUGGUGAAAAAAAUCUGGAGGGUAGCGUUCUGCUUUUCUGUUCAGCCAGAUGAUAUUUCUUUCCAUCAACUCUUUCUGUGAAAGAACUCCUUAUCAUCAGAAACCAGAGUACGCAUAUGUACACGUUGGAGUGGGUAAUUAUCAGCAUGAGUUUACCCCACUUUGAACCUAGUAUAUGAAGUAGAUGUAGCAAAGUGGACAAAUGUUUCAUAAAUAAACUGUAAAUGGUCGGUGUUAUUCUAUCACAAAAGCUACUUUCACAUUUUCUCAUUAAUCCCCCGCCUUUAGCCUGAGAAAGACACAGACAACCCAACCGUUUUGAUGUAGCCACAUUGCAUCUUAAAAUAUACCAAGGCGGAAAUUGUGAACCUCAGAGAGGCAUAAGUAGUGCAGAAGCAUUCAGUCGAAAAUGCCUGAAUAUUCUUUAUUAUUUUUCUAGAAAUAGCAAAGCACUUGAAUCUCAAGGAUUCUCUGUGUUUCUGUUGCUACUGACACGUAAAUAUCAACACUUUUUUCCUCAUUAAUCUAGUAACAUACCACAACAGCUUUCUUAAGUUCCUUGAGUUUGUUAUCAUCUUGUUGUGAAGAUAGUGCUUGCACUGUAGACGUGCUCAUUUGCUAGACCAGGCUUCAAAUUACACCCGACUCUAGCAUGCCCCAUUUAUUUUCUACUUGUUUCUCUUAUUCAAUUACAGGGACUGAUCUACUAGUUGAGCGUGGAUAUGACCCUUAAUGCAUCAUGCUUAUUAACUUUAAGAAAAUAUCAUGCAUAUGACCAGACAAACUCUGAUAUAUCUCUUAUCCAACUCUGUUGUAGCUAAGCAAAAACUUCAGGAAAAUAUUGACACAAAUUUUCCAUGUAUCAUAGGCGAUUGUCCAUUUUGAGAGAGAACUUUAGUAUGGAUACCAUGAAGUCUCUGAAGUUUAAUGUUCCAAUCAUGGCACUGACUGCUACUGCUACUACUCGUGUUCGAGAAGACAUUCUCCAGUCAUUGCACAUGUCAAAGGCAACUCAAAUUGUUCUCACUUCGUUUUUCCGGCCUAAUCUUCGAUUUUCAGUAAGUUAAUCUACACUGUGCUAUGUUAUUCCUUAUAUGUCCUACAUUUGCAUUUGCAGCACCUUUUCACUCUUCUUAUUUUUUUAAUAGUCGGGGGGAGUUAAAUUCUUCAUAAACUCAAUACUUUUUCUUUUUGAUAACCAUGGUUUUCGGGCUAGCUUGCAUCGACCUCGACUAAUUCCACGGGAUGCCUUAUUCCUCCCUCUAGCAACAAGUACUUGGUAAUGUUGUCCACUAAGGCUAGGACAGAUGGGAAGCAAUUACCUAGUAUUUUUGUCCCUAGGAUUUUAACGUGAGACCUCAUGGUUCUCAAGUCACGUCAUUGACCACUAGACCACACCCUUGGGUGCUAGAAAGAAAAAGUCGGUGCUGAAAUCAUGAUAUUAUGUUUGCCGAUCAAUUACGUUCAGUAUUGCAGUCAAGAACUAAAUUACUACCUUCUUCGACCAUAGUUAUGGUCUUUUAAACUUGAUCCUUCGUCUUUGUGUCACUUUAUAUCUGCUGCAUAAUGCCAUGAAAGGGCUGCUGCAUAUUAAUAAAGUUUUCAUUGAGUGUUUCUACUUUCUAGUUUUGUUUUUGCUACAGUAUUAGUGUCUGAACCUUCUAAAGAUACAGUUUUCAUUGUCUGUACAUAUGCUGAUAGAAAUCAUAGUAAAUCACUUCGUUUCUGCUGCUUGCAGGUGAAACACUCUAAAACAUCAUCUUUAGCAUCCUACAAGGAGGAUUUGCAUGAAUUGAUAAGCUCUUAUUCCAGAAAAGGGAAGUCUCACCGGAAAGAUAAGUUAAUGUCUACAAAUCUGGAGAACUCUGAAAGCUCUGAUAAUGCUUCAAAUGGUUACAUGGAUGAAUAUAAUGGAACCAAUGAGGUUAAUGUAGACGACGUUGAGGGGGAUGAUGUUUCUGAGAGUGAUAAUGAAGUAUGUUCUCCUGGGAGAUAUGGUUUAGGUUCUUUGAAGGAUAGACAAUUGUCUGUUGAGUAUCUGGAAGAUGAGUGUGAUAUUGUGCAAGAUGUUGAUGAUCUGGAUGGUAAAACUCUGGUUUUUGUGAAAAUAUCCGUUUAGACAGUACAAAUCAAAUUUAAGAGAGAAUUUGAUUGACCGCAUCUUCCAUGGCACUAAAGAUACACAACCAGCAACUCGAUCUGUUACAAAAAGCCAUUGCAGAGACCUUGAAAUUUUUUUAUGUAAACAUAGAGAAAUUUUUGGAAACAGCCUCUUGCAUAAAUGCAAGGUAAGGCUGCGUACGAUACAACCUUGUGGUGGGGCCCUUCCCUGGAUACCGCGCAUAGCGGUAGCUUUAGUGCACUAGGCUGCCCUUUAAACAUAGAGAAUUUUGAAAAUUUUAAUACUAAUUACCUUAGAGUGGAUUGAAAUAACUCCUUUUGUGUUGUCGUAGCUGCAACAGUACUUUCAUCUACAUUCUAAAGUGUUUUAAGUUUCGACAAUCUAUCAUCACAUCGGUGCAAGAUUCUUUAGUAUGAGAUUUCAAGAGGCUAUAACCUUAGCUUGAGAAGAUAUAGAUUAUCCCUGGUAAUUUGAUAGAAGGAAAAGCCUUGCAUCAUCUUAUCCUAUGACACAAGUCUCUUAAUAUAUGAUCAAAAGACCACAUGUGAUAAAAGUAUCUCAUCCUACUCUUUCUUGCAUUCUCGAACUUGACCUUUUUGUGUCGUAGAUACUCUCUCCAUUUUUAAACCAAACAAGGGAAAUAAUUUUUUGUGGAGUUUUCUAAGCCUCGAACUGGUAUUGUUGCUGCCAUGUGACCAGGAGGUCACGGGUUCAAGCCUUGGAAACAGCCUCUUGCAUUUCAUGCAAGGUAAGGUUGUGUACAAUACACCCUUGUGGUGGAUCCCUUCCCCGGACACUGAACAUAGCGGUAGCUUUAGUGCACCGGGCUGCCCUUUUUUCCUAAGCCUCGAACUGGCAAUCUAGCAAUUUAAGUAAAGACUUCAUCGUCUCAUCCAGGAUGCUUUUUAGGGGUUUCCUCAAUUUCUCACCAUCUACCUAGAAUGUAAACUUAUCAUUUUAAAUUGUAAGCUUGGUCAUUUACUCCUAUAGUUACUUUAUAAUAAAUUGUACUGAUAUCAUAAAUUGCUGCAGUUUCUUGUGGUGAAUUUAGUGGAAAACUACCACUGAAAGGUUAUAGUGGUUUUCUGUUGCCCAAAACGCCCAAUAAUCCAGAAGAAAGAGCAAAGCUUCAGCAUGAACCUUUGGAGGAUGGUCCAACAAUAAUCUAUGUCCCAACUAGGAAAGAAACAUUAAGUAUAUCAAAAUUUCUUUCUAGAUUUGGGAUCAAGGCUGCUGCUUACAAUGCUAAGGUAAUUUAUAUAUCCAAUCAGUUAAAGAGAUUAUAUUGCUCUCCCACUGAUUUUAAUGAUGCUGUGUUCAUUCCGCCACCAAACUAUAAUUGUUUGAAGGACUUGGGAUAUUUUGCAUAGCCUUAUGAUGUAGGAGCAUGGCUUUUAAGCAGGCAUUUGGAUAUGAUCUGAAAUUAUUGAUUUGAAGUUGAAAUUUUGUUUUGACAUGCAGUUUGGAUUUCAAAAAUUGUACUCUUUAGGAUGCCAAAUACCAUAGUUGUGAAAGUGAACUAAAGGUGAUCAUAAGCAUGUUGUUCAAUUGGUUUGCUUCCAUGUAAUUAGGCUUAUCUUGUCAUUGUGAUAUUAUGUGGUAGAUGCUCUGCCAGAUUGGAGUUGACGUCUAAAAAGUAAAAGUUUCACAGCCCAAGCCCUUGGACAUGCCUGCUUUUGAUCAACAUACCUUACAGAUUUGUCUCUUAGGCUACACCACC